GGCGCAGAAAAGGGGGCGGGGGGACUCGACUUGUUGUGUUGCUGCCCGAGAGCCGGAUACUGUCGUGCCGCGGCCGCGCCGCUCCCAGUCUCCCGACCAUGUCUCACUUAGUUGAGCCGCCGCCACCCCUGCACAACAACAACAACAACUGCGAGGAAGGGGAGCAGUCCCUGCCGCCGCCCGCCGGCCUCAACAGUUCCUGGGUGGAGCUCCCCAUGAACAGCAGCAAUGGCAAUGAGAAUGGCAACGGGAAGAAUGGGGGGCUGGAGCACGUCCCUUCCUCAUCCUCAAUCCACAAUGGAGACAUGGAGAAGAUCCUUCUGGAUGCACAGCAUGAGUCAGGACAGAGCAGUUCAAGAGGCAGUUCUCACUGUGACAGCCCUUCACCACAAGAAGAUGGACAGAUCAUGUUUGAUGUUGAGAUGCACACCAGCAGGGACCAUAGCUCUCAGUCAGAAGAAGAAGUUGUUGAAGGAGAGAAAGAAGUUGAGGCUUUGAAGAAAAGUGCAGACUGGGUAUCAGACUGGUCCAGUAGACCUGAAAACAUCCCACCCAAAGAGUUCCAUUUCAGACACCCUAAGCGUGCUGUGUCUCUAAGCAUGAGGAAGAGUGGAGCCAUGAAGAAGGGGGGCAUUUUCUCUGCCGAGUUCCUAAAGGUCUUCAUCCCGUCUCUCUUCCUCUCUCACGUGUUGGCUUUGGGGCUGGGAUGGUAAAACACACCAUUGUGGAGGAUGAUUCUUGAAUACACUGGUAGACUGCUGUAGCAUCUAUAUUGGAAAACGACUGAGCACACCUUCUGCCAGCACCUACUGAGGGAAACGAAAAGCCUCUGGAAAUGCGCGUGGCCUGUGAAGUGCUGUAUUGUAGUUUGAAUUUGAGACCUAUUGUAAGCAUGAUCCCCAACCUACAACCCCAUUUUUACAUACCCAAUUCCAGUAACUCUCAAAUCCAGUAUUUUCCUCAGGCUCUGUGAGGCAUUUUACUAACCUUGUUCCCUUUUUGGCCUGUCAGACACUUUAGAGAUUCCUAACAGAGUUUACUGUCAUUUAGAAAUUUGCAAGGGCUUUUUUCAGCAAUGCCACCAGCAGAUGAUAAUCUUAUCAACAAUGCCAUCGUCUCCUCUAGUACCACCAGAGUCACACCUGCAUCAUCCAUGCUAGAAACUGGAUUCUAGCCAUGCAACUACAUCUCUUUCUAAAUGAGGUCAGGUUUGCAAACAAUACUAUAAAAGCUUUGUUUAGUUUUUGUUUUCCAGGACAAAAACAAGCUUCCCUAAGCUUGAAUUUAUAGUUAUUAAAAACAAAAGAAAACAAAACCAAAAAAAAAAAAUAAUAAAAGCAAGACACAAGGAAAAAAAUAUCCUGGGCAAUAAAAAUGACUUCCAACCAGCUUUGGGCCACUGUUUUCCUAGCCUCCUGGUCCGCCUGUAGGGGUGACAGAUAGGAAAAGCAGGCUAGAACAUACUGGCCGGUUCUAACAUUAGUAGGUCGCAGUGCUAUCUUUUCUAUGAUAGAGAGUCUUUAUUUUUAAGGAAUGCCUCAGGCCUAGACAUACAUGAAAUUGCUUUUGAGAUUUUUGUGCGUUUGGUAUUUUCAUGUGUUGUCUGCAUGUGAAUUUCUCAUGACUUUCUUUACUUGUUUUUCUAGUUUCUUUUCUCUCUCUCUCUUUUUUUUCUAAGAAGAGACUUGGAACGAGUCUGAUUCGUGGUGUUACUAGAGGCUUCUUGUCUUAGGAAGCUUUGCUUACACCCUGAAGCCUUUGCACUCUGAAGAAUAACUUCAGAGGUACUCCAAGCACUUGUGUAACUUCAGAAAGCAGACCUGGAUUUUGGCAACAGUUGACAAAGUUCUGGAAAGAUGCCAUUCGUUCUCUGUGACCCCUUACUUCCUGUCGUUGGCUGCGGUCUUCUCAAUGCGUCCCUAGGAUCUCCCAGGCCCUGGUGACUUUCUCACAGAGUUGUCUUUUCAGUUCUGUCAAGCUCUAAUGUUCUGCAGUACUCAGAAAAUCCUUUGAAUGGCAGACUUUCUUCUGUCUGUUUCUAAAAUGUGAAGCUUUAGGACCAAAUUGUUAGACAGCAUCAGGAUCGCAGAUGAUCUCAAGUAGAUGUUGUUGGAUUUCAGAACAUAGCACGACUCUAAAGGAGUCUGUUCUCUGUAUACUUAAUUACUGUCUAUGAUGGAGACUUGCUGUAGUUGCAGAACCUUGGUGAAUUUCAAAGCUAGCAACCUACGUGGUGCACCAGGUUGACUUGAAUCAAUAUGGCAACCAGGUUUGCUGGCAUGUAGAAACUAACUCCCCUCUCACAUAAAGGGUUAUAAGAUUGGUGUGUUAUAUGGAAAUGGAGAGGAACACAGCUAGGAAGACAUUUCUGUCGUUUUUCAAGAACAUAGCUGUUAUCUUUAAGAAAGAUAAUAUAUCCAAAAUAGUUUUUGUGAGUUCUUUUCUUUCUGGCAUUUAAUGUCUAAAGGAUUGUGGGCAUCUUCUGCCCUUUUCCUGUCUUGCUCUUAAACCUGGUGACGCUUGAUUUGCCUUCUCGCCUAUUUAUUUCAAGUGUUUGUAUUUGAAUUUCUUUAGGAAGAAAGUGGCCUGUUUGUCUGUUUGUUUGUGUGUCUUUGAAAAGCCUGAAUCAGAUUGGCAGGGCUGCUGAAGCUAAACUGCAGCAGGUUGGCAGUGCUUGUGUGUGAGCAAGCGGCACAGUCACUCAGGAGGUGAUCUCACAGGCGGACGUCACCUUCUUCAUGAGUGCAGUAGCAGUUUCCCAGCAGUGCCAUCGGACUGCGGGGACACUGAGGAUUUUGUUUCAACAUCACAGCUGAGUUUAGUUUUACCAUGUGUGAAAGUACCAUUAAGAUCAUGGAACACGUCACAGUACAAUUGUCCACCAGUGAGCUUGUGUGGUGUUGGUUUGCAGCCCUGACAUACAGGAUGUUUAUGUUCCUACACAGAUUCUCAUUGAGUGAAAACAGAUUGUCCUAUUGCAAAGCAGAAUUCAACCAGGAGUUGAAAUUUAAGAUAAUGUUUGAAAAGCUUUAUUCCUGUUUACAAUUUGGAAUGAAAAGCAGGCUUCAUUUUAAGUUUGAUGAAAACUGGCUCAGAUGUUUGUAAGUCAAGAGGAAAGCGGCACAGAGAACGGCGCAACAGAGUCCCUCGAUUACAGUCAAGAGUGAGAUGGAGACUCAGCCGUGAGACGAAUCUCACGUGAACCAGUUGUUGGAACUCCUGGCGUUAACUGAGCCAGAGUGAUGAGCAUCCUUCGUCUGUCUCGUCAGCACUUGCGUCAUUCCUUACAGUUUACAGAACACGUGUAACUUGUAGCUAUAAACAUUUUGUGCCAUUAAAGCUCUCACAAAACCUG